rnacentral:rRNA from 1 species
GUAAAGGCAUAAGGGAGCUUGACUGCGAGACCUACAAGUCGAGCAGGGUCGAAAGACGGACUUAGUGAUCCGGUGGUUCCGCAUGGAAGGGCCAUCGCUCAACGGAUAAAAGCUACCCCGGGGAUAACAGGCUUAUCUCCCCCAAGAGUUCACAUCGACGGGGAGGUUUGGCACCUCGAUGUCGGCUCAUCGCAUCCUGGGGCUGUAGUCGGUCCCAAGGGUUGGGCUGUUCGCCCAUUAAAGCGGUACGCGAGCUGGGUUCAGAACGUCGUGAGACAGUUCGGUCCCUAUCCGUCGUGGGCGUAGGAAAUUUGAGAGGAGCUGUCCUUAGUACGAGAGGACCGGGAUGGACAUACCUCUGGUGUACCAGUUGUCGUGCCAACGGCAUAGCUGGGUAGCUAUGUGUGGACGGGAUAAGUGCUGAAAGCAUCUAAGCAUGAAGCCCCCC